UACAGAGGUGGCAAGCGUUGUUCGGAAUUACUGGGCGUAAAGGGCGCGUAGGCGGCCCUCUAAGUCAGACGUGAAAUCCCCCGGCUUAACCUGGGAACUGCGUCUGAUACUGGAGGGCUAGAGUUUGGGAGAGGGAUGUAGAAUUCCAGGUGUAGCGGUGAAAUGCGUAGAUAUCUGGAGGAACACCGGUGGCGAAGGCGGCAUCCUGGACCAAUACUGACGCUGAGGCGCGAAAGCUAGGGGAGCAAACGGG
rnacentral:rRNA from 1 species